rnacentral:rRNA from 1 species
UGGGGAAUAUUGCGCAAUGGGCGAAAGCCUGACGCAGCGACGCCGCGUGAGGGAUGAAGGUUUUCGGAUCGUAAACCUCUGUCAGAAGGGAAGAAACCGCACUGUGCUAAUCAGCAGUGCCUUGACGGUACCUUCAAAGGAAGCACCGGCUAACUCCGUGCCAGCAGCCGCGGUAAUACGGAGGGUGCAAGCGUUAAUCGGAAUUACUGGGCGUAAAGCGCACGUGGGCUGCUUUGUAAGUCAGGGGUGAAAUCCCACGGCUCAACCGUGGAACUGCCUUUGAUACUGCUUAGCUUGAAUCCGGGAGAGGGUGGCGGAAUUCCAGGUGUAGGAGUGAAAUCCGUAGAUAUCUGGAGGAACAUCAGUGGCGAAGGCGGCCACCUGGACCGGUAUUGACGGUGAGGUGCGAAAGCGUGGGGAGCAAACAGG